rnacentral:rRNA from 1 species
GACAGAGGAGCUUGCUCCUCUAGAUUCAGCGGCGGACGGGUGAGUAACACGUGGGCAACCUGCCCUGUAGAUUGGGAUAACUCCGGGAAACCGGGGCUAAUACCGAAUAAUCCUUCGGACCUCAUGGUCCGAUGUUGAAAGGCGGCUUCGGCUGUCACUACAGGAUGGGCCCGCGGCGCAUUAGCUAGUUGGUGAGGUAACGGCUCACCAAGGCCACGAUGCGUAGCCGACCUAAGAGGGUGAUCGGCCACACUGGGACUGAGACACGGCCCAGACUCCUACGGGAGGCAGCAGUAGGGAAUCUUCCACAAUGGACGAAAGUCUGAUGGAGCAACGCCGCGUGAGUGAAGAAGGUUCUCGGAUCGUAAAACUCUGUUGUGAGGGAAGAACAAGUACCGGAGUAACUGCCGGUACCUUGACGGUACCUCAUUAGAAAGCCACGGCUUAACUACGUGCCAGCAGCCGCGGUAAUAC